UACGUAGGUGGCAAGCGUUAUCCGGAUUUAUUGGGCGUAAAGGGUGCGCAGGCGGAUUUUUAAGUCAGCGGUCAAAUCGUGGGGCUCAACCCCAUCCAGCCGUUGAAACUGGGGAUCUAGAGUGUGCGAGAGGUAUGCGGAAUGCGUGGUGUAGCGGUGAAAUGCAUAGAUAUCACGCAGAACCCCGAUUGCGAAGGCAGCAUACCGGUGCACAACUGACGCUCAGGCACGAAAGCGUGGGUAUCGAACAGG
rnacentral:rRNA from 1 species